GAUGGCGGCCAUAGACCUAAGUGUACACCUGAACUCGGCCGAACUCAGAAGUUAAGACUUAGGCCGUCUGGGAAGAUGUGCAGUGCGCGAGCCUGUGACAGGUCCCAGAGCUGCCACAU
rnacentral:rRNA from 1 species